GCAACAGCUCAAAUUUGAAAUCUGGCCCCCCGGCCCGAGUUGUAAUUUGGAGAGGAUGCUUCUGGCGCGGCGCCGUCCGAGUUCCUUGGAACAGGACGCCACAGAGGGUGAGAGCCCCGUACGGACGGACGCCCAGCCUCUGCGAAGCUCCUUCGACGAGUCGAGUAGUUUGGGAAUGCUGCUCAAAAUGGGAGGUAAAUUUCUUCUAAAGCUAAAUACCGGCCAGAGACCGAUAGCGCACAAGUAGAGUGAUCGAAAGAUGAAAAGCACUUUGAAAAGAGGGUUAAAAAGUACGUGAAAUUGUUGAAAGGGAAGCGCCUGUGACCAGACUUGCGCCCCGCGGACCACCCGGCGUUCUCGCCGGUGCACUCCGCGGGGCGCAGGCCAGCAUCGGUUCUCCCAGGGGGACAAGGGCCGCGGGAACGUAGCUCCUCCGGGAGUGUUAUAGCCCGCGGCGGCAUGCCCCUGGGGGGACCGAGGACC
rnacentral:rRNA from 1 species